CUGACAUUUGGCAUCUGUGUUAAUCUCUUAAAUCCUGAUCAGCUAAUAAAAUUAUUAAUGUUAAGUCUGACCUAGUGUUGAUUGAGUCUGACAACAAACUAAUGGUUACAAUCGCUCCUUGUCAACUUUGCUAGAUGCACA